rnacentral:rRNA from 1 species
GAGGGGCAGCGCGAUGUAGCAAUACAUUGGCGGCGACCGGCGCACGGGUGCGUAACACGUAUGGAACCUGCCCUGUACUGGGAGAUAACCCGGAGAAAUCCGGACUAAUAUCCCAUAACAACCGAGGUGGCAUCACCUUGGCUUGAAAGCUCCGGCGGUACAGGAUGGCCAUGCGCCCGAUUAGCUAGUUGGUGAGGUAACGGCUCACCAAGGCUACGAUCGGUAGGGGGCCUGAGAGGGUUAUCCCCCACACUGGUACUGAGACACGGACCAGACUCCUACGGGAGGCAGCAGUGAGGAAUAUUGCGCAAUGGAGGCAACUCUGACGCAGCCAUGCCGCGUGCAGGAAGAAGGCGCUACGCGUUGUAAACUGCUUUUAAUCGGGAAGAAACCCCGGGACGUGUCCCGGGUUGACGGUACCGAUGGAAUAAGCACCGGCUAACUUCGUGCCAGCAGCCGCGGUAAUACGAAGGGUGCAAGCGUUAUCCGGAUUCAUUGGGUUUAAAGGGUGCGUAGGCGGGACAGCAAGUCAGCGGUGAAAUCCCGUGGCUCAACCACGGAAUUGCCGUUGAUACUGCUGUUCUUGAGUACGUUUGACGUGGGCGGAAUGUGCCGUGUAGCGGUGAAAUGCUUAGAUAUGGCACAGAACACCGAUAGUGAAGACAGCUCACGAAGACGAAACUGACGCUGAGGCACGAAAGCGUGGGGAUCAAACAGGAUUAGAUACCCUGGUAGUCCACGCCGUAAACGAUGAUCACUCGUGAUCGGCGAUAUACUGUCGGUCACCUAGCGAAAGC